UCCUUCAAAGGAUCUUUUCUUAUGCCCUAGGGCUGACCAGCUUUAUUUUUCUGCUUAAAGCAUUUGCUUCUCUAUGAGACAAAGGAUCAGGCAGGGAAGAAGGGUUUUUGUUUUUCCUGCAAUGGCAGCUACUCCCUCCUCCAUGCCUUCACCAGCAGAGGAGGUCCUCCUGUCUCUUAUCCUGUUCUCUUGAACAGCCACUGGAGAUCUAUGGAAAAGAGCUUAAGAAAGGCCACGUGAAGACACGGUGAGAAGACGGCCAUCUGAAAGUCAGGAGGAGUAUCCUCUUGAGAACUGAAUCAAGCUAGUACUUUGAUCUUGGACUUCCAGCCUCCAGAACUGCAGUGUCGGUCUGCAAGCUUCAAGAGCCAGUGACCCUGACUGCCAAGUGAUUUGCCGAAGGGAAUUAUGGUUUUGCAUUUGAUGGUUUCCAGGAACUGCUAAGAGUGAGAUCAUCCCUGAAGCAGUGACUGCCAGAGGAAGGCGAGAGACAUAUGGUGGCCUUACAGGAGAAGAACAUGUCUCAGAGAGCUCCUACUCCUCCAGUUUUGGCCCCAGAAUGAAACACAGGAAGAAGACCUGAAUUUGAUUUGCAUUUCAAAGUAGAACUGUCCCAGCUGACAUGAAGACUGAUGAAUAAGGAAUAAAUGUUUAUUGUUGUAUGCCACUGAUAUUUCUGUGGUCGAUUAUGUGUAGAAGAGCUGACUUGUACACUUAUAUAAACUUGAAGAAGACUGAAUUUAGAAAUGGAGUUUCUGCAUAUGGUUAUGUCUGAGUAGCUCCAAGUGGAUCAUCCCUCCCACAGACAACAACUCUAAACUCUGGACAAAAUAUAAAAAUAACAAUUUCCUGAAUAUCAAAGAGCAACCCAAAUCAUGCAGAUACUGGCUGCCGUAUUGUGAGCUGCAUUAUGAAGAAGACCAUGUGGCAAGACACUGAGGGAGAUCUCCAGCCAACAACAACUCAUAAGCAACUAAAUCUUGUGAUGAACCACUAGAGUCAUCUGGAAAGAGGAUCCUCCCACCUUCAAUCUUUGAAAUGGCUAGAGCUCUGAUGACAGUUGGAUUACAGCCUUAGGAGAAACAGAGAGCCGGGGAAAUUUGUGCCCAGGUUCCUUUCCCACAGACAUUGUCAGAUAAUAAAUAUCUCUGCGUUUUUAAGCUUCUAUGUUCUGGGAUAAUUUGUUAUGCUGCAAUAAAUAACAACCUGGAAGUGAGGUGCUGCCAUAGUAAAUAUCUAAAUAUGGAUCAUUAACUCAUGUCUAAACUAGCCUUAGAAUAAUAGCUACUCUAGACUUGUUAGCAGAGCUUAAAACAAGCCUUAAGAGAACCAAGCUGAUCCAGAAAUAACAUACAUUAGCAGAUUAAAA